UUGCAAACAACAAUUACAUAACAAAAGAACUGUUAUGGUUUUGCUGUUCUUUUUGGGCAAACUAGUUAUAUUGAUAGAAGAACAAACUUGAAGUAGCAGACAAGUAGAGAGUGCAGUUUUAGCCAAAACGUUAGCUAACCGAUUAGACUUGCAGGAAACAAAAGAGAACUUGAUAUGAAAAAAAAAACGACUAAGAAAGGCAAUAUCGUGGAGAAUCCCUUGUAGAUUGUUCGUAGAGGUCUUUGUAUUUAGCAGAGAUAUAAAGACUUGAGAGUCGGAGAAAACGUUGAUGGAGGUCAAUUCCAUUCUAGUCGCUGCGAUCAACACUGAUUUCAUAGCUAAAGCCGAGGUGAGUGUGUGCGUGUUGCAGCUCCAUGGUGGAAGACUCGAUUGUUCUAAGUUUUGAAAAGCCACCCCAUUCCGCACAAACCUGCAUUUGCAGUCUAGACCGUAUCAAUAAAGCAAGAAACAACCUCUCUAGGAGAUAAGAUAUGUAUGGAAUCCUCCGUACAAGGAAGAAAGAUCAAAGAAACCUUAGUAAUAAAAAAACUGCAUGGAUCUGGAUUUUUGGUGUCAACAUCCUCCAUUACAUGUAUUCUGUAUAU
rnacentral:sRNA from 1 species